GACCUAGUGGGGCAUAGUGGUUUGAGCAUUGAGCUAGGACUCUGGAGACCUGGGUUUGAAUCCCAGAUUGGCCA